rnacentral:rRNA from 1 species
UACGUAGGGGGCAAGCGUUGUCCGGAAUCAUUGGGCGUAAAGAGCGUGUAGGCGGCUCGGUAAGUCCGCUGUGAAAGUCCAGGGCUCAACCCUGGAAUGCCGGUGGAAACUGUCGAGCUAGAGUCCGGAAGAGGCGAGUGGAAUUCCUGGUGUAGCGGUGAAAUGCGCAGAUAUCAGGAGGAACACCAAUGGCGAAGGCAGCUCGCUGGGACGGUACUGACGCUGAGACGCGAAAGCGUGGGGGAGCGAACAGG